ensembl:lincRNA
GUGAUAUUCUCCAGUCAACUUGCUGGCUUCCCGCUCACCACCUAUCAUGUUCUCCUGACUCAGGCUGAUUGUGGGGAGCAGGUGUGGACCCAGCACUCGCCUGGGGCCUGCCUUGAUGGUGUCAAGGGAGGAUGACCUCAGCCCCCGCAUGCUCCCUGAUGACCUCGGCCUUCUAUUUAUACACUGAGCACUGGGAUUGCCUGGAGAAGCCAACAUUGCAUCUGCGACACCAUCAGCUUGUCUGUUACCUGGAGGCUGAAAUCAUCCUUUGCUGUUAUUAUCCUAAAGGCUCCCAGAAGGUCGCAUGGCAGAGCUGAUGUCAGGAUCACAAAAGCCUCUUAAAUCUUACCAAUAGCAGUUGUCAUGACCAUGUCCAAUGUAGGAAACAUUGGUCCCAGUGCUUGAAUUCGCUCCCUUUUUACUGUUAUCUCUUGCUCAGUUUCUACAAAAUCUCUUAGAAGUGGAACUUAGAAGUGGAACUACUGGAACUAAGCAUGUGUUGCAAUUUUUUUUUUUUUAAAUCUGUUUUACAGGCAAGCAAGUUUUAGAAUGUGGAGCUGACACACCAUUUCUAAGAUUUAUAGUAACCACGAGAGUUGGACAAUGACAAUGCUGGGACAGGGCCUCGAGAAAAGCGAGUGGUGGAGGAUUCCUUUCUAGGAGGAUUUGAGAACCAGUCAAAUGCAUUAUUCCACCAACAGCUUCUUCUUCAUCCUAUGUGUUCAAUACUCUCAGUCCUGUGGGUUAAGCCUUUGCUUAAGGGAUGUUAAGGCACUGAGGACCACAGCACUUGUUCUCAUCAACAUCAUCAUCAGCAUCAGCAUCAUUGUCACCAUAACCAGCAUCAUUGGCAUCAGCAUAAUCAGCAUCACCACCCUCAUCAUCAUCAGUAGCAUCAAUAUCACCAUCAUCAGCAUCACCAUUAUCAUCAUCAGCAGCAUCAGUAUCACCAUCAGCAGCAGCAUCAGCAUCAUCAGCAGCAUCAGCACCAUCAGCAUCAUCAGCAGCAUCAGCAGCAUCAGCAACAUCAGCAUCAUCGUCAUCAGCAUCAUCAGCAGCAUCACCACCAUUAUCAGCAGCAGUAUCACCAUCUAACAUUUUUUGAGGGUUUCAGAUGCACAAGGCACUGGGCUGAUUGCUUUACAUGCGUUGUUUCAUUUGUUCCCAACAAUGACAGCCCGCAAAGUUAAGUAUUAUUAUUGUUAAUAUCCUCAUUUACAGAUACGUAAACUGAAACUUAGAGAGAUUAAGCAACUUGCUUAGGGCCACAGAGCUAUGUGAAGUGCAAUUUUCAAAAAUGUAAAUCACAAUUCUCAGGAAAAUAUAAAAUGAUACCAUGUCAAAGAUUUUAUUUAACUCAAUAAUUAAUGAGAGAACCAAUAAGAAGUUAAAACUUAUUCAAAGAGCAUUAGAGAAUUUAGAUAUAUGCAGGCAAUUCAACAGCAAAAAAUAAGGCAAGUAUGAUAGGUUAAAUUAUGUUCCCUCUGGAAAAAAAUCUAUCCUGAUCCCUGGAAUUUGUGAAUAUGUUACUUAUGUUACUUUACAAGUAGAAAGGAUUUUACAGAUGUGAUUAAAUUAUGGGUUUUUAAUCACAUCUGUAAUGGGGAGAUUAUUCAGGAUUAUCUGGGUAGGUCCAAUGUAAUCACAUGCAUUCUCAUAAGAGGGAGACAGGAGUGUCAACUGAGAUGGAAGAUAUAAGAACAAAAGCAGAGAUUGGAGUGAUGUGCUUUAAAGAUGGAGGAAGAGGCCAUAAGCCAAGGAAUAUAGGUUAUCCCUAGAAGCUGGAAAAGAGAAUAAAACAAAUCCUUUUCUAGAGCCUCUAGAAGAAAUGGGCUCUGCUUACACCUUGAUUUUAGCCCAGUGAAACUGAUUUUGAACUUCUGACAUCUAGUACUGUAAGAUAAUAAAUUCGCAUUAUUUUUACACCCUAAGAUGUGUUACAUUGUUAUAUCAGCAGUAGAAAUUUAAUACCAAAAGAUUACUGGGUGAGAUAGAAAGCUAGUAAAUGUCCAACCGGGCUAUCAAUUGUAACCCUUGGAGCUAAUUCUUCCACCAGAGUUAAAUUAUUUGCAUCUUUGUGGGACCAAAAUUUACAAAUAAACCUCUGCCGUUAUGGAGAUGAAAUUUGACUGGUCAGUAGAAAGCCC